UCAAGCAACUAAGCGCAUACGGUGGAUGCCUUGGCAGUCAGAGGCGAUGAAAGACGUGGAAGCCUGCGAUAAGGUUCGGGGAGCUGGCAAACAAGCUGUGAUCCGGGCAUUUCUGAAUGGGGAAACCCACCGACUUUCGGGUCGGUAUCUUACACUGAAUCCAUAGGUGUAAGAGGCGAACCGGGGGAACUGAAAC
rnacentral:rRNA from 1 species